rnacentral:rRNA from 1 species
UACGUAGGGGGCUAGCGUUGUCCGGAAUCAUUGGGCGUAAAGAGCGUGUAGGCGGCCCGGUAAGUCCGCUGUGAAAGUCAAAGGCUCAACCUUUGAAUGUCAGCGGAUACUGCCGGGCUAGAGUCCGGAAGAGGCGAGUGGAACUCCUGGUGUAGCGGUGGAAUGCGCAGAUAUCAGGAGGAACACCAAUAGCGAAGGCAGCUCGCUGGGACGGUACUGACGCUGAGGUGCGAAAGCGUGGGGAGCAAACAGG